rnacentral:rRNA from 1 species
UACGUAGCACGCACGGAGUGGAGGUAGACGUCAACCUCUCUCUCUCUACCUAACCACGGAUGCUACGCGACCAGCUGCGCCGCCGGUGGCGUCAGGCGCUCGAGCCCACAUGCCACCGCGAGUGCCUGGAGGUGGCGACGGAGCUACGGAAGUCGCUCAGGACGCUGGCUCGGUUCCCGGAGCAGGUCCGCCGGCGGCGACCGGAGCCGGGGCGGCGGUGGGCGGUGCUGCUCGACACGGCGCGGCACGCGCGCCAGCUGUUCCUAGAGGCUCGGCGGCUCCUCUUGCUCUACCUUCUCCUCUUCGUAGCGGGAGGCUGGUGCGGCGACCACCGGAUCCUGUUUAUCGGGUUAGCUAGAUGGAGAAGAGGACAACUUCACUACAAGUAGCAAGAACAAAAAAGGUACACUACAAGUAGCAAGGAAAAUAAAAGAACGAACUACACGAUUAGCACAAUCAGUAGAUCUUCUACUUACUUUGACACUGCCCUUUCCUGUCUACCUGACCUAUAUAACGGAGCGGUACGGUGUACCACCGGCUCUACGCCGUCGGGGUACGAGACAAGGCUACCCGGAGGAUACGAGCUACAACGACGACCAACUCAAACCAUGCCAAAGGACAACAGCGAACGCAGCUCGGAACCCAGGCAGAGAGGAAGAGUAACUCGGAUGAAGAGGACAGCGACCGCGAAGAAGAAGAGCAGCCAGGACGACGAAUGGGUUGGAAAACGAACGACGGAGCCCAACGUGCUAGAGACUACAUCGACGCAGCAAACUGAGUAGUUCUAUAUGGUGUCUCCCUUCUAGACGGAGUGACACGUGAAGUCCACGCGCGUGUGAUCGCUACCAUGUUCUAACCGAAGGACCACCUUAGUCCACGCGCAGCAGGUACCACCGGACAGCACCCACAACCACCCGCCGACCUCCGCCGACAUCGUCUGAGAUCUUAGCGAUUCCAACGAGGAAGAGACAAGGAAACCAGUUCCACAGCACAAACACACAAACAAAAACACCACGACGAAUAUACACACUGAUGGCAUACUAGCAUAUAUAUACGACUUUCCCUUGGGGAGGACCAGCUCGGGGAUCGGGGGUGGAACCGUCGACGGACCUCUCCUCCUAUCGAGCUCCUGUUGAGGGUUACACGGCUCCUCUACCCUUGUACUAUUCAGCUGUGUAUUAUUCCUAGUCUUCUUGUUGUCUAUACGAUUCUCUGUUUGGAAAACCCCAAUUCCUAUAUUUGUUGUUGUCUCGAAUACUCCGGCUUCUCUCGAGCUCACCGCAGAAAACCAAGAACUUCUGGACGUGCAAGGACCACCUCAUCUCGUUUUAUUAAACCUCCGAAAUUUCGAUGACGUGAAGUACAUAAAUCCUAGUUAAGAAACAAAAUCAAACUUUAUAAGGGGUAAAGGAGGAUAAACUAACUAAGUAGACUACUUGUAAAACAGUCCGUUUAUUUGUUUUCCGUAUACAUAACAAUGCUCACUUCGGUAGGUAUGAGGGUACACCUUAAGUUCUUUAUCUUUUUACAAUAACAAGAACAUGAUUAACAAACGAACCGGUUUACAUGAUAUUUACUAAAUAAUAACAAGUUCCAUAUCUCUUUACAACAACAAGAAGU